rnacentral:rRNA from 1 species
CCUACGGGAGGCAGCAGUGGGGGAUAUUGCACAAUGGGGGAAACCCUGAUGCAGCGACGCCGCGUGAGUGAAGAAGGAUUUCGGUAUGUAAAGCUCUAUCAGCAGGGAAGAAAAAAGACGGUACCUGACUAAGAAGCCGCGGCUAACUACGGGCCAGCAGCCGCGGUAAUACGGAGGGGGCAAGCGUUAUCCGGAUUUACUGGGGUUAAAGGGAGCGUAGACGGUAAUACGAGUCGAAAGUGAAAUACCCGGGCUCAACCUGGGAACUGCCUUGGAAACUGGAUGGCUUGAGUUGUGGAGAGGUAAGCGGAAUGCCUAGUGUAGCGGUGAAAUGCUUAGAUAUUAGGAAGAACACCGGUGGCGAAGGCAGCAUACUGGACAGGAUCUGACGUUGAGGCUCGAAAGCGUGGGGAGCAAACAGGAUUAGAUACCCUUGUAGUC